rnacentral:rRNA from 1 species
AACGAACGCUGGCGGCAGGCUUAACACAUGCAAGUCGAACGCAUCCUUCGGGGUGAGUGGCAGACGGGUGGGUAACGCGUGGGAACGUGCCCUUCAGUUUGGGAUAACCCAGGGAAACUUGGGCUAAUACCGGAUACGCCCUUUUGGGGAAAGAUUUAUCGCUGAAGGAUCGGCCCGCGUCUGAUUAGCUAGUUGGUGAGGUAAUGGCUCACCAAGGCUACGAUCAGUAGCUGGUCUGAGAGGAUGAUCAGCCACAUUGGGACUGAGACACGGCCCAAACUCCUACGGGAGGCAGCAGUGGGGAAUAUUGGACAAUGGGCGAAAGCCUGAUCCAGCCAUGCCGCGUGAGUGAUGAAGGCCCUGGGGUUGUAAAGCUCUUUCACCGGUGAAGAUAAUGACGGUAACCGGAGAAGAAGCCCCGGCUAACUUCGUGCCAGCCGCCGCCGUAACAC